UUUCUUAGUCUAGAUCGACAAAAGUCGAAAAGCUGAAAUGCCGAAAAUCGGUAUUUUGUAGAUUUGCUAGUGUGCGAAUGCUCGUGAGGUAAAUCGAUUAAUGUUUUUGGUAAGCUGCAAUGUUUGGACUGCAAAGUGCAUGAUUUCUGUGCCCUCGAUAUUUUUGGGCUUAAUGGGCCAAAAUUGGAAUGAUGGGCCAAUGGGCCCAAUUCGGAAAUCCCCAACCAUAGUGGGCUUGGAGCUGUGAGGGAAUUCGGAGUGGCCACCCGUUUUGAAAGUUUGAUUUUCUUCUGGUGAACUGGACAUCCUUUUAAUUACGUUUGAGGUUUUGGGCUUUUAAAUGUAAUAAGGCCGCUUAUUUAUUUUUGAUGGUUUUUAUAUGUUUUAUUAAGAUAGGUAAUAUUUAUAUUUUAAA